UCCCUGUGGCUCAAACAGUAAAGAAUCUGCCUGAAAUGCAGGAGACCCAGGUUCAAUCCCUGGGUUGGGAA
rnacentral:tRNA from 1 species